ensembl:snRNA Gm22083 predicted gene, 22083
GUGUCUGACAGCACACACAGAGCAUAUGGAGUGAUACAAAGAUUAGCAUGGCCCCUGUACAACGAUGAUGUGGACAUUCAUGACGCAUCAUUACAUACCUUU